rfam:Dipodomys ordii contig_31329, whole genome shotgun sequence.
GGGAAUGUAGCUCAGUGGUAGAGUGCUUGCCUUGAUGCAUGAGGUCCUGAGUUCGAUUUCUCAGCACCA